rnacentral:rRNA from 1 species
GCCCUUUCCGUAGGUGAACCUGCGGAGGGAUCAUUACUGAGUUUACGCUCUAUAACCCUUUGUGAACAUACCUAUCACUGUUGCUUCGGCGGGUAGGGUCUCCGCGACCCUCCCGGCCUCCCGCCUCCGGGCGGGUCGGCGCCCGCCGGAGGAUAACCAAACUCUGAUUUAACGACGUUUCUUCUGAGUGGUACAAGCAAAUAAUCAAAACUUUUAACAACGGAUCUCUUGGUUCUGGCAUCGAUGAAGAACGCAGCGAAAUGCGAUAAGUAAUGUGAAUUGCAGAAUUCAGUGAAUCAUCGAAUCUUUGAACGCACAUUGCGCCCGCCAGCAUUCUGGCGGGCAUGCCUGUUCGAGCGUCAUUUCAACCCUCAAGCUCUGCUUGGUGUUGGGGCCCUACAGCUGAUGUAGGCCCUCAAAGGUAGUGGCGGACCCUCCCGGAGCCUCCUUUGCGUAGUAACUUUACGUCUCGCACUGGGAUCCGGAGGGACUCUUGCCGUAAAACCCCCCAAUUUUCCAAAGGUUGACCUCGGAUCAGGUAGGAAUACCCGCUGAACUUAAGCAUAUCAAUAAGCGGAGG